rnacentral:rRNA from 1 species
AUUGAACGCUGGCGGCAGGCCUAACACAUGCAAGUCGAGCGAGCGGCGGACGGGUGAGUAAUGUAUGGGGACUGCCCGAUAGAGGGGGAUAACUACUGGAAACGGUAGCUAAUACCGCAUACUAUCGGAUAACCCAUAUGGGAUUAGCUAGUAGGUGGGGUAAUGGCUCACCUAGGCGACGAUCCCUAGCUGGUCUGAGAGGGUGAUCGGCCACACUGGGACUGAGACACGGCCCAGACUCCUACGGAGGCAGCAGUAGGGAAUCUUCGGCAAUGGACGAAAGUCUGACCGAGCAACGCCGCGUGAGUGAAGAAGGCCUUAGGGUUGUAAAGUACUUUCAGCGGGGAGGCGUUACCCGCAGAAGAAGCACCGGCUAACUCCGUGCCAGCAGCCGCGGUAAUAC